rnacentral:rRNA from 1 species
ACCUGGCGGCUGUUGUUGGCCGUCCAGGGGUGUUGCGUUCCGGUGCGUCCUUGCCGGCCGAGUUGCUCACCGCCUAAGUCAUUGCUUGAAAGCAGCCCCAUGGAGGGUGAUAGGCCCGUGUGGCGGCGCCUGUAAAAAGGGUGAAGGCGGCUCGGUCGGGCGGACGUCCACCGUAGAGUCGGGUUGCUUAGUACUGCAGCCCUAAGCAGGUGGUAAACUCCAUCUAAGGCUAAAUAUUACCACGAGUCCGAUAGAGAACAAGUACCGUGAGGGAAAGCUGAAAAGAACUUUGAAGAGAGAGUUCAAUAGGACGUGAAACCGUUAGAAGCCUAAACGGGUGGACCCGCGAAGGUUGAGCGAGGGGAUUCAGGUCGCCGAUGGGCGGUAGGUUGUUGCCGAGACCCGGCGCGUAGUCGCGGCCGGGCCCGGCCUCUGCCUCCGUUUCUUGUCGGCGGGCUUAUUUCUCCCUUGCGAAAUCGCCGCGACCCGCUCUGGGGAGCCCAAGGGCCGUGCCGCACUGGUAGUCCGCGC